rnacentral:rRNA from 1 species
UACGUAGGGUGCAAGCGUUGUCCGGAAUUAUUGGGCGUAAAGAGCUCGUAGGCGGUUUGUUGCGUCGGGAGUGAAAACCCAGGGCUUAACUCUGGGCUUGCUUCCGAUACGGGCAGACUUGAGGUAUUCAGGGGAGAACGGAAUUCCUGGUGUAGCGGUGAAAUGCGCAGAUAUCAGGAGGAACACCGGUGGCGAAGGCGGUUCUCUGGGAAUUACCUGACGCUGAGGAGCGAAAGUGUGGGGAGCGAACAGG